rnacentral:rRNA from 1 species
AGGGCACCACCAGGAGUGGAGCCUGCGGCUUAAUUUGACUCAACACGGGGAAACUUACCCGGCCUGGACACUGGAAGGAUUGACAGAUUGAGAGCUCUUUCUUGAUUCGGUGGGUGGUGGUGCAUGGCCGUCCUUAGUUGGUGGAGCGAUUUGUCUGGUUAAUUCCGAUAACGAACGAGACUCUAGCCUAUUAAAUAGGCUCCCGGCUUUUAAACGCCGGGAGGACUUCUUAGAGGGACAGGUGGCGGUUCAGCCGCACGAAAGAGAGCAAUAACAGGUCUGUGAUGCCCUUUGUUGUCCGGGGCCGCACGCGCGCUACACUGAAGAGAUCAGCGUGCUUUAUGUUCCUGCUCCGACCGGAGUGGGGAACCCAGUGAACCUUCUUCGUGAUUGGGAUAGAAGAUUGUAAUUAUUCUUCUUGAACGAGGAAUUCCCAGUAAAUGCGAGUCAUAAGCUCGCGUUGAUUACGUCCCUGCCCUUUGUACACACCGCCCGUCGCUACUACCGAUUGAACGAUUU